rnacentral:tRNA from 1 species
ACUCUCUUAGCUCAGUUGGUAGAGCAACAGAUUUUUAAUCUGUGGGUCAUGGGUUCAAGUCCCAUAGGGGGUA